AUUGAACGCUGGCGGCAGGCCUAACACAUGCAAGUCGAGCGGAAACGAGUUAUCUGAACCUUCGGGGAACGAUAACGGCGUCGAGCGGCGGACGGGUGAGUAAUGCCUAGGAAAUUGCCCUGAUGUGGGGGAUAACCAUUGGAAACGAUGGCUAAUACCGCAUGAUGCCUACGGGCCAAAGAGGGGGACCUUCGGGCCUCUCGCGUCAGGAUAUGCCUAGGUGGGAUUAGCUAGUUGGUGAGGUAAGGGCUCACCAAGGCGACGAUCCCUAGCUGGUCUGAGAGGAUGAUCAGCCACACUGGAACUGAGACACGGUCCAGACUCCUACGGGAGGCAGCAGUGGGGAAUAUUGCACAAUGGGCGCAAGCCUGAUGCAGCCAUGCCGCGUGUGUGAAGAAGGCCUUCGGGUUGUAAAGCACUUUCAGUCGUGAGGAAGGUAGUGUAGUUAAUAGCUGCAUUAUUUGACGUUAGCGACAGAAGAAGCACCGGCUAACUCCGUGCCAGCAGCCGCGGUAAUACGGAGGGUGCGAGCGUUAAUCGGAAUUACUGGGCGUAAAGCGCAUGCAGGUGGUUUGUUAAGUCAGAUGUGAAAGCCCGGGGCUCAACCUCGGAAUAGCAUUUGAAACUGGCAGACUAGAGUACUGUAGAGGGGGGUAGAAUUUCAGGUGUAGCGGUGAAAUGCGUAGAGAUCUGAAGGAAUACCGGUGGCGAAGGCGGCCCCCUGGACAGAUACUGACACUCAGAUGCGAAAGCGUGGGGAGCAAACAGGAUUAGAUACCCUGGUAGUCCACGCCGUAAACGAUGUCUACUUGGAGGUUGUGGCCUUGAGCCGUGGCUUUCGGAGCUAACGCGUUAAGUAGACCGCCUGGGGAGUACGGUCGCAAGAUUAAAACUCAAAUGAAUUGACGGGGGCCCGCACAAGCGGUGGAGCAUGUGGUUUAAUUCGAUGCAACGCGAAGAACCUUACCUACUCUUGACAUCCAGAGAACUUUCCAGAGAUGGAUUGGUGCCUUCGGGAACUCUGAGACAGGUGCUGCAUGGCUGUCGUCAGCUCGUGUUGUGAAAUGUUGGGUUAAGUCCCGCAACGAGCGCAACCCUUAUCCUUGUUUGCCAGCGAGUAAUGUCGGGAACUCCAGGGAGACUGCCGGUGAUAAACCGGAGGAAGGUGGGGACGACGUCAAGUCAUCAUGGCCCUUACGAGUAGGGCUACACACGUGCUACAAUGGCGCAUACAGAGGGCGGCCAACUUGCGAAAGUGAGCGAAUCCCAAAAAGUGCGUCGUAGUCCGGAUUGGAGUCUGCAACUCGACUCCAUGAAGUCGGAAUCGCUAGUAAUCGUGGAUCAGAAAUGCCACGGUGAAUACGUUCCCGGGCCU
rnacentral:rRNA from 1 species